GCACGAGCUUGUGGACGAGGAUGCCGUACGAGAUCAAAAAAGUGUUCGCCAGCCUCCCGCAGGUUGAACGAGGCGUGUCCAAAAUCAUUGGAGGUGAUCCGAAAGGCAACAAUUUUCUCUAUACCAAUGGGAAAUGCGUCGUCAUCCGAAAUAUCGAUGUAACGUAUCCCGAUGUAUUUAUUUAGUCUCUUCGCGUACCCCUCGCGAAGUUCCGUUUCCCCCCCCCUUCCUCCCCCGUCUCCCCGUGCUCCCCUCACGGCGGGGAGCCGCGCUGGAGCUCACGGCGCUGCGCUGAGCGGGGAUAGGAAGGAAGGUGCGUGACUAAAGCAGAAGCGGCUGCAAAAAUUCCUGAAGAAUCGCAGUGAAACGUGCAGCUCUCGCCCUCUCUUUGCAUGGAGUGUGUAGAGGAGAGAGGCUGAUAGUUCUGCCUGGCCUUGUGUGUUUUUCUGAAAUAGCACGGUCAGGAGUUGGGAGAUGUGUUUGCCUAAUAAAUGAAGACUUCCUUA